CUCGACGGACCUCCAAGGGAUGAUUAUUCAGAAAUCUCCACUUUUCUACCUUCUACAUAUUGGCUAAAAGAAAGAACACCUUUUUUCUCCGAGGCUCAAAUCAAGGUUCUAAGGAUAAAAAUUUAAAGGUAGGCUUGAAAGGCUCAAACGGUUCAAAGAAGGCCCAAAUCAUAUCCCAAAUCACUUAUUAUCAACACUUCGUAUCAUACCUGUCCUAAGGUGAGAUUUAAAACCGAACAAAGCAUGAUUGAGCACAAAUAAAUUCCAAAUUUAACAUGCAAAACAUUCAACCAAAGCAAGGCACAAGGUGUGAUUCCUAGCAAUAAUUCACUUCUACGUUCCGUUGAAUCGAAAGCUAAACAAAUACAUACUCCUUAUCAACAUAAAGCAAGUAGUUUCAUCAUCAAACAUUGACCAUCUACCAUCAUCGUAA
rnacentral:lncRNA from 1 species